AAACAAGCUAAUUUUCCGAUACAAAUUAUGAAUCAGAGCCUAUUAUGUCGCGGUCGGCUCCACCGGUCGACGGAGGGCUUCUAUUUCAGCGAUGGUUCCGUUCAGUGCAUCCCCACCCGGAAUAGGACUGCCAGGUGCUGCAGCAACAAUUGGAGGAGCCAGUAGACCUAAUCCCGACAUCAUGCCUACAAUAAUAUGGUGGUUUCGUCGGUGCUGGUCAGCGAAUGGACGGAACAAAAUGCCCCGGACAGACGAACCUACUUCUGAAUCAUCAAUCAAAUUUCCUGGGAAAGGCCGGACGAAGUUAUAGCAGCAAAAAAUUGCUUUUCCAGUGCCCCUGGAUGAAGUACCGGUCCGAUAAAGGAAAAGUACUACCAUAACUUUAACACCAAGGAAUCACCGGAAUAUGUUGAGUUGAAACAGAAAGUCGGCGACAAACGGGUUGUUAGGAAAGCUGCCAAGUUGGAAUUAAAAAACGGUUACAGCUGCUUCCGGUGGUGCGAUACUGAUGUUGAUUCUUCCGGUUAGAACGCUCGUAGAAUCACCAGCACCGGCCAAUGCUAGCUAUUUCUUACGUCUUUAUCCGAUAGGGGAGCAUAGUUUCGGCACAGAAUUCGUCCUAUGGAUCAAGCCAUGGCCAUGGCUUGAAGCUGGCUACUCAACAGAAAUGAUCCCGCUAUCGGAUCAGGUUCUCGAUUUUUGGAAUAAGUAAUAGAAGAUAUUUGGAUAGUUCGGAUGUUUUUAAACGUAUCCGGAAGAUGUUAUUCCUGAAUGUAGUCCGGUCCGCGUUUUUAUAUCGAGAUAAAAACUAAAAGCUGGUCAUGACCCGAACCUAAACAACUCUGUCGGGAGCAUCAACCGCAUCAGGAACAUUGGUUUUCCAAAAACUUUGGUGUGGAAUGAUGAAUUGAACUUCAAACAACGACAUUCAACUGGAAGUUUUCGUUGAUAGAUGCCCCCUUAGACGGAAGAUUUCAAACACGGAGAAAGAAAGUGUUCGAAGGAAGGAAGCUAUUCCGACUACAAGACACUACCGGGAAGUUCUUUUGAAGUUAUCUGCCUUUCUGGUAUCUCUUGUCAGCCAAAGCAGGAAGAUGACCCUGGUAGAAUGUACGAAACUCGUCGCAUUUGACCUCGAAAACCGAAGUGAAGGUUCGGACAUCGAGGGGAGACUGCCCCCAUUUUUCGCUUUCUGGACGUUUGAAGUUUCUAAAAAUAAAAUAAAAAACAUAGUUAAA